rnacentral:rRNA from 1 species
GAUGAACGCUGGCGGCGUGCCUAAUACAUGCAAGUCGAGCGAACAGACGAGGAUCUUGCUCCUCUGACGUUAGCGGCGGACGGGUGAGUAACACGUGGAUAACCUACCUAUAAGACUGGGAUAACUUCGGGAAACCGGAGCUAAUACCGUAUAAUAUAUUGAACCGCAUGGUUCAAUAGUGAAAGACGGCUUUGCUGUCACUUAUAGAUGGAUCGCGGCCGCAUUAGCUAGUUGGUAAGGUAACGGCUUACCAAGGCAACGAUGCGUAACCGACCUGAGAGGCGGAUAGGCCACACUGGAACUGAGACACGGUCAAGACUCCUACGGGAGGCAGCAGUAGGGAAUGUUCGGCAAUGGGCGAAAGCAUGACGGAGUAACGCCGAGUGAGUGAUGAAGGUCUUGGGAUCGUAAAAACCUGUUAUUAGGGAAGAACAAAUGUGUCAGUAACUAUGCACGUAUUGACGGUACCUAAUCAGAAAGCAACGGCUAACUACGUG